rnacentral:rRNA from 1 species
GGGUCAGUAGGUUGGUCGUGCCACCGGUACGUACUGGUCUCACUGAUCCCUCCUUCCUGAAGAACCGUAAUGCCAUUAAUUUGGUGUUGCGGGGAAACAGGACUGUUACUUUGAAAAAAUUAGAGUGUUUAAAGCAAGCUAACGCUUGAAUACAUUAGCAUGGAAUAAUGAAAUAGGACGAUCGAUCCUAUUUUGUUGGUUCCUAGGAUUGACGUA